GUGUAUGGCCAUGCCACCCUGAACAAGCCUGAUCUCGGAAGCUAAGCACGGUUGGUCCCGGUUAGUACUUGGAUGGGAGACCACCUAGGAAGACCAGGUGCUGUAGGUG
rnacentral:rRNA from 1 species